AACGCGAAGAACCUUACCAGGUCUUGACAUCCCACUGCCCGGUAUAGAGAUAUACCUUUCCCUUCGGGGACAGUGGUGACAGGUGGUGCAUGGUUGUCGUCAGCUCGUGUCGUGAGAUGUUGGGUUAAGUCCCGCAACGAGCGCAACCCUUGAUCUUAGUUGCCAGCAUUUAGUUGGGCACUCUAAGGUGACUGCCGGUGACAAACCGGAGGAAGGUGGGGAUGACGUCAAAUCAUCAUGCCCCUUAUGACCUGGGCUACACACGUGCUACAAUGGAUGGUACAAAGGGCUGCGAGACUGCGAAGUCAAGCCAAAUCCCAUAAAACCAUUCUCAGUUCGGAUUGCAGGCUGCAACUCGCCUGCAUGAAGCUGGAAUCGCUAGUAAUCGUGGAUCAGCAUGCCACGGUGAAUACGUUCCCGGGCCUUGUA
rnacentral:rRNA from 1 species